AUACGUAGGUGACAAGCGUUAUCCGGAUUUACUGGGCGUAAAGGGCGUGUAGGCGGUCUUGCAAGUCAGAAGUGAAAUUCCUGAGCUCAACUCGGGCGCUGCUUCUGAAACUGCAGGACUUGAGUGCUGGAGGGGAUAGCGGAAUUCCUAGUGGAGCGGUAAAAUGCGCAGAUAUUAGGAGGAACACCAGUGGCGAAGGCGGCCUGCUGGUCGACAACUGACGCUGAGGCGCGAAAGCGUGGGGAGCAAACAGGAUUAGAUACCCUGGUAGUCCACGCUGUAAACGAUGAAUACCAGGUGUGGGGGGACUGACCCCCUCCGUGCCGCAGUUAACACAAUAAGUAUUCCACCUGGGGAGUACGAUCGCAAGAUUGAAACUCAAAUGAAUUGACGGGG
rnacentral:rRNA from 1 species